rnacentral:rRNA from 1 species
ACGCUGGCGGCAGGCCUAACACAUGCAAGUCGAGCGGAAACGACACUAACAAUCCUUCGGGUGCGUUAAUGGGCGUCGAGCGGCGGACGGGUGAGUAAUGCCUAGGAAAUUGCCUUGAUGUGGGGGAUAACCAUUGGAAACGAUGGCUAAUACCGCAUAAUGCCUACGGGCCAAAGAGGGGGAUCUUCGGACCUCUCGCGUCAAGAUAUGCCUAGGUGGGAUUAGCUAGUUGGUGAGGUAAUGGCUCACCAAGGCGACGAUCCCUAGCUGGUCUGAGAGGAUGAUCAGCCACACUGGAACUGAGACACGGUCCAGACUCCUACGGGAGGCAGCAGUGGGGAAUAUUGCACAAUGGGCGAAAGCCUGAUGCAGCCAUGCCGCGUGUAUGAAGAAGGCCUUCGGGUUGUAAAGUACUUUCAGUUGUGAGGAAGGGUGURUMGUUAAUAGCUGCRYAUCUUGACGUUAGCAACAGAAGAAGCACCGGCUAACUCCGUGCCAGCAGCCGCGGUAAUACGGAGGGUGCGAGCGUUAAUCGGAAUUACUGGGCGUAAAGCGCAUGCAGGUGGUUCAUUAAGUCAGAUGUGAAAGCCCGGGGCUCAACCUCGGAACUGCAUUUGAAACUGGUGAACUAGAGUGCUGUAGAGGGGGGUAGAAUUUCAGGUGUAGCGGUGAAAUGCGUAGAGAUCUGAAGGAAUACCAGUGGCGAAGGCGGCCCCCUGGACA